UUCCGUAGGUGAACCUGCGGAGGGAUCAUUACACAAAUAUGAAGGCGGGCUGGAACCUCUCGGGGUUACAGCCUUGCUGAAUUAUUCACCCUUGUCUUUUGCGUACUUCUUGUUUCCUUGGUGGGUUCGCCCACCACUAGGACAAACAUAAACCUUUUGUAAUUGCAAUCAGCGUCAGUAACAAAUUAAUAAUUACAACUUUCAACAACGGAUCUCUUGGUUCUGGCAUCGAUGAAGAACGCAGCGAAAUGCGAUAAGUAGUGUGAAUUGCAGAAUUCAGUGAAUCAUCGAAUCUUUGAACGCACAUUGCGCCCUUUGGUAUUCCAAAGGGCAUGCCUGUUCGAGCGUCAUUUGUACCCUCAAGCUUUGCUUGGUGUUGGGCGUCUUGUCUCUAGCUUUGCUGGAGACUCGCCUUAAAGUAAUUGGCAGCCGGCCUACUGGUUUCGGAGCGCAGCACAAGUCGCACUCUCUAUCAGCAAAGGUCUAGCAUCCAUUAAGCCUUUUUUUUCAACUUUUGACCUCGGAUCAGGUAGGGAUACCCGCUGAACUUAAGCAUAUCAAUAAGCGGAGGAAAUCACU
rnacentral:rRNA from 1 species